rnacentral:rRNA from 1 species
AUGAGAGUUUGAUCCUGGCUCAGGUCGAACGCUGGCGGUGUGUCUAAGGCAUGCAAGUUGAGCGAACUUUAUUUCUUCGGAAGUUAAGUUAGCGGCAAACGGGAGAGUAACGCAUUAGUAAUUCACCUUGUACUCGUGAAUAGCCCAGAGAAAUCUGGAGUAAUACACGAUAUGAUGGGGGGACAAAAGUCAUUCCCAUUGAAAGUUCCGACGGUGCAAGAGAAGCUUAUGUUCUAUCAGCUAGUUGGUGAGGUAAAGGCUCACCAAGGCUACGACGGAUACCGGGCGUGAGAGCGUGACCCGGCUCACUGGGACUGAGACACGGCCCAGACACCUACGGGUGGCUGCAGUCAAGAAUCUUCCGCAAUGCACGAAAGUGUGACGGAGCGACACCGCGUGUCGGAUGAAGGCCUUCGGGUCGUAAACGACUGUUCUGAGGGACGAACUUUGACGGUACCUCAGCAGAAAGGGGUUGCUAACUCUGUGCCAGCAGCAGCGGUAAUACAGAGACCCCGAGCGUUGACCGGAUUUAUUGGGCGUAAAGCGUUAAAACAUAAAGGAAUAGACGGGGACCCGCACAAGCGGUGGAUCAUGUGGUUUAAUUCGAUGGUACGCGAGAAACCUCACCUGGGCUCAACUACUAGCUGCAAGCUUUAGAGAUAAAGUCGCUUUUGAAGGUGCUAGAUAGGUGCUGCAUGGUCGUCGUCAGCUCGUGCCGUGAGGUGUACCCUUAAGUGGGGUAACGAGCGCAACCCCUGUCGUGUGUUAUACUUUCACACGAGACUGCCUUCGUAAGAAGGAGGAAGGAGGGGAUGACGUCAGAUCAGCAUGGCCCUUACGUCCAGGGCAACACACAUGAUACAAUGGCCGGUACAGCGAGAUGCCAAGUCGCGAGACGGAGCAAACCUCUAAAAACCGGUCCCAGUUCGAAUUGGAGUCUGAAACUCGACUCCAUGAAGCCGGAAUCGCUAGUAAAGGCGGAUCAUAACGCCGCCUUGAAUACGUUCUCGGGUCUUGUACUCACCGCCCGUCACGUCAAGAGAGUUGGUGGUGCCCGAAGGUCGUUGUAGGACGGCCGAAGGCAAAAUCAGCAAUAGGGACGAAGUCGUAACAAGGCAUCCGUAGCGGAAGCUGUGGAUGGAUCACCUCCUU